UCCAGCUUUCCGGCUUACUCCGACCUUCCUCGUCUCCGCCGCAGUCAGAUCUGAGGUAGUGGAUUUCGCCGUACACCAGAAGCGCCGCGCAUCUCGCCGGCAAAAGAGGAUCCUCCCAAGAGGGCAAAGAGGAAAACAUAGGCAGGGAGGAGAGAGACCUCCGACUCCGGGAGUGGGCACCGGACAUCGGGGGCGCCGCAGAUCUAGGGUUACGUUCUUCUUUUGGUC
rnacentral:lncRNA from 1 species